UUGGCGUGACGAGGAAAGAAAUAUUUGUUUGUCUGAUCUGAUCUAAGUGAGUAGAAAUACCUCCUACUCAUUCUCA
rnacentral:snoRNA from 1 species